AAAAAAAUUCUAUAUUUAAAAUUGUACAUAUAAAUAAAAUUUUAUGAUUUAUGUAAUUUAAUUUGAAUUUAUUUUACAUAUAAAUUUUAGUAUGAAUUUAUAAUUAUUUUAAUAAUAUUUAUAUGAUAUUGUAGUAAUUAAAAUUAAAAAUUUAAGAAAUUAAGAUUUAGUUAUAUUUAAUAUUAUUAACAAAUUUUGUGCCAGCAGUUGCGGUUAUACAAAAAAUAAUUUAAAUUUUAUCAGUUUAUAAUAAAUAAAUAUUUUUAAUUUAAAAUAAAUGUUAAAUUAUUAGGUGAAAUUUUAAUUUAAAGAAAAUUUAUAAUAAUUUAUGAUUUAUUAAAUUUUAUAAAAAACUAGGAUUAGAUACCCUAUUAUUAAAAAUUAAACUUAUAAUACUAAAAUAGUAAAUAAUAAUUUAUUGAAACUUAAAUAAUUUGGCGGUAUUUUAGUAAAUUUAGAGGAAUCUGUCUAAUAAUUGAUAAUCCACGAAUAAUUUUACUUAAUUUAUAAUUUUGUAUAUCGUUGUUAAAAAAAUAUUUUUUAAUAAAAAUAAUAUUUUAAAAUUUUUAAAUAAAUUUAAUUCAGAUCAAGAUGCAGAUUAUAAUUAAGAAUAUGAUGGAUUACAAUAAAUUUAUUUAUAUGAAUAAUAUUUUGAAAAAAAUAUUUGAAAGUGGAUUUAAAUGUAAUUUUAUUUAAUUUAAUAAAAUGAUUAAAUAUUAAAAUAUGUACAUAUUGCCCGUCGCUUUCAUAUAUAAGUUGGAAUAAGUCGUAACAAAGUAGAGGUACUGGAAAGUGUUUCUAGAAAGAU
rnacentral:ncRNA from 1 species